rnacentral:lncRNA from 1 species
CUCUUCUUGUCUGUGUAAAGUGAUGUUUUCUUUUGAACAAGAAAAGUCACUUCAGGAUCAGCAUACAAACCGCAGUGAAAUGAGGAUGCUUUGCAGGCUUUCUGUAUUUGUGUAGUCAGGAAUUAAACCGCUGUCCCGACCCUUUGACCGGCUUUAUCUCUGAGAUUUAUUAGCGGCUCUCUCUUUCACAGGCCCAACAUUUUUCCCAAGAGCUGUAAUGAAAUUGGGACUGUGUGCCUCCCCCACCAGCGAUGCUGAAUUACCGAAUCUGGGGCCUGGCCCACACCCCUACCUCUGGUUCUUCUGAGCUCACCAAGCAAGCUGCCUGCCAGGGGGGCAUGUGUGUCGGGACCGUGGUUUGGCUGAGGGUUUAACCCAUCUGUGUGCUGGUAAAUAUUUAACUACCCACCGGAGGGGGAGGUUGGGAGGGGCUGAUCUGUCAUGUUUGCUGAUUUCCAUGUAUAAAUAUGCUGCCACCAUGACCUGUGUGUACACGGAAGAGGGGUCAGUGGCAUUUCCAUCAUGCAGAAAUGACAGAUGCAGGUAACCUCAGUGGAUUGUAGUAAAAUGUAUUAAAAAAAAAUGGAGNCAAAAGGAGGUGAGUUUUGAGCAUUUAUUACCAUUUCUUCUUUAUUUGCUUUUUAGGGCCUCACCCAAGGCACAUGGAAGUUCCCAGGCUAGGGGUCAAAUUGGAGCUGUAGUUGCCAGCUUACACCACAGCCAAGGCAAUGCAGGAUCUGAGCCGCAUCUGCGACCUACACCACAGCUCAUGGUAACAACGGAUCCUUAACCCACUGAGCGAGGCCAGGGACAGUAUCCCCUGUCCUCAUGGAUACUCGGUGGGUUCAUUACCCUUGAGCCACAAUGGGAACUGCCUAAUUUAAGUUUUAAGAAUGGCCAGGCCUAACACACCUUGCUUGCAAAAUUCUGGAAGUUUAAUAGCUCCAGCCCCAGUACUGGGGUAACCUUCCUGCACAGGUUGAGAUGCAGGGCUGGGCGUUCCUGGAGCCCUGAGGGAGGGCAGAAGCCAUGAGCCCAGCUGCAGCUGUAUUCUAAGGUGGGUCCUCACACCUGUUGGGGUGUGUAUGUGGGGAAGCUCCCAGUUACUCUGUCCCCCACAGCCCAGCAGCUUCUUUAGCCCAACUUCUUCCAUUGCCUACUCCAUCCGUGGCCUGCCAGCCCCACCUCCUUUCUUGGGAUCCAAGCGAUCAGGCAGAGGCUGUCAUGGUCCAAGUGAGAGCUUUGGAGGUAGGUGUCCAGCUUUCAUAAUGGCACCACUUGGCGACUUCCCUUCUGCAUCUCUUGGGGGAUGGGGCCAGGCCUGGGUCCACAGCCACAGCUGUCUGACAGGGCUGGUCUCCUUGACCCUGAGCUGCUCUCGGAGGUGGGCUGGGAUCCCUGCUAACAGCAACGUGUGAUGCCUGUGGUUAUAUGCUCCUGGCUGCUUCCGACUUAGUUCUAGAUUUGCCCUCGCAUCUAUUUUAUACCAUUCCCAGGGGUGAGGAAUGCAGGAAGCACAGCCUGCACCGCCUGCCCUGUGUCCGCCUGUGGCUGAGCAGCAGGGCUCAGUGCAGCUGCCCCUCACCGUCUCAGGGAGAAAGAGGGGCAGGUGCCUCACACUAACCUGAGGGGCACCAGGCGGAGCGCAGACUCCUGCUGUCCCGGGGUCCUGGUGGAGGCGCCAGCGAGCCGGGUCGUCUUGCUCAAAGGAUCUGCAGGCAGAGGCUUCUGAGGAGGGUUUGGCUUACGCGUUCCCUGAAACAAACCACAAUAUUAUGCGUGACCCCCACUGCCCUGAACUUGGACAAGACACUGUCCCCAGGAGCCAUCGGAGUCCCCUGGAGAGCGGUUAGGGCUACACAGCACAGGGUUCACUUCCUGUAAACUUUGAGUGCAACCCUCUCACCUUGCAGGUGUGUGUGUGUGUGUGUGUGUGUGUGGUGGAGGUGACCCUUGUUAACGAUUUAUCUGUAGGCUCAUUUGGUUACAAACACUCAGAUAUGGGUCCUAAGACACCCCGGUGCUCACAGCCUUGGAAGUCCGCUUGAUGCUGGUGCUUCUGGGCUGAUGCUACCCAGGAGGUGUCAACUUGCCUGUGCUCUCAGGCUUCCUUUCAGGGUGUAACGGCCUAAAUGCGAAGUUGGUGAAAAACCUUUUCAAGCAACACAUUCAUUUCUUCCCGUCUGGCGGAAUCCGCUAAAGAGCUUAUUUCAGCUACGAGUGGACUAGACAGGGAAGGUGACCAUCCUAUUUCCAUCGGCGCGGGCUCAGUGACGUUGCUCCAUGAAACGCACGAAAGUUCUUCUGCCAAAGCAUCACAAGCUCGCCUGGAAAGUGACACCCAGAAGGAAAACCCAGGAUCCAGUGCUUCGAAGGACAGGUAUUCUGUAAGGAAGCUGUGGGGAGGGGAUAUGUUGACCAGAGGCCAGGGAGGGAGCUGGCAACACAGGGUGGGCAGAGCGUGAACCUGGACCACUCAACUCUGGGUUUUAUGCAAAGACCAACAAUCUGAGACUCACAGUGAGUCACUUUACAUCUUUGGACCUCGAUUUCUCCAUCUGUAAAGUGGGAGAAAACACAACUCAUCUCAUAGCGUUGUUAUGAGGACUAAAUAAUGCACGAGGAGCUCCCAGAACGUAGAAAACUGAUUAAAAGUCGCUUGUUUCCUGGGGCCCCUUCCUUGGCUACUGAGAGAGGAGCUCCACUGGAGCCAGGCUGGGAAGUCCAUGUGUGCUGACAGCACUCACACACAUCGGCAUUGAGACACCACCUGCUCUGGUCCUUGGACCCUAGAAGCUCUCAAGGAUGCUAUAAACACAAGGAAACCAGGCCAUCCUAAUAAACAGAUGACCUAAUCCACUGUCAUGGGACUCAGUGUUGCAUACAUUCUGGAAUAUUCAAGAUGGCUUUAAAAACAUUUGAGUUGAAUUUCUCAUAGUACUCAUUCCAUGAAAAUUACAUCUCCACAGUGAUCGGAGCUCAGUUACAAGAAUGUGACACUAUAAUCACAUUUAAUGUAUCUUUGUAAGGAAAGGAAGCUACCCUCGCACUGUGUCAACCACAGCUGCAAAGAAAAUACGCCAAGUUGAAACAAGGUGCACCCUGGGCUGGGAAAGAGUCACUGAGUGAGAAACAGACUUAAAUGUGGCCUUUUCACUAAAGGAAACAGUAACAUCUCACUAAAGGAACACAUCCCUUCACUAGGAGUGCAGACCAUACAUGUACACAGCCUUCAAGCCAGGCUGUUCAGUACAGUCAAGUGGGCUCUGCAAAAAUAAGCUCUGUGAGCACACAAAUUAUUUAACUGCUUCAGUUGCAGAGAGGGGAGGGUGUGAGGGCUGUAAGUCUCUCAGCACAGGGCUGGGCACCCAGGGACCAGUGAAUCACUGUUACUUUUUCACAACUGCUAUUGCUGAAGAAAUGAAAUUACCAUGUAAAAGCACCAUAACUCUCCCAACAAACUUUGGGAGGUAAACUAAGGCAAUAAGUCAAGCUCCAUUCCUAGAAGGUGGCAGAAAACUAUGAGCAAGAUCUUAGCAUGUAACAUAAAAAGGAAUGCAUGCACCCAUAAAAUGGAAAGACUGAGGAUUAGAAAAUUCACUCCUAAAUGAUAAUAGUUUUGCCACAGGUAUGAAUAAGUAUCUAGUCUUGGUCGUAAAGAUCGCAUUGGGUUUGUAUUGCAGUGCCAGAGAAAAAUAUGUAUGUUGCAGGAUAUCACAAUAUAUUUGGAUUUCUCAUGGAAACUGGGGAUGAGGGGAUAAUUAGGUUGGCUGUUCAUUCUGAUUUGCCUGGGACACUCCAAAUUUAUGGCUGUUUUUUUUGUUUGUUUGUUUUCCCCUUUUUAGGGCUGCACCUGUGGCAUACGGAUGUUCCUAGGCUAGGGGUCAAAUCAUAGCUGUAGCUG